rfam:Triticum aestivum genome assembly, contig: Triticum_aestivum_CS42_TGACv1_scaffold_146274_2BS
UACGUACUCCCUCCGUUCGGAAUUACUUGUUACAAAAAUGAAUAAAAAUAGAUGUAUCUACAACUAAAAUACAUCUAGAUACAUUCAUUUCUUGGACGAGUAAUUUCGAAUGGAGGGAGUACAAC